AAUAGCUUCGUUAUGCAUUCCAGGGUUGAGGUCUGUGAAUGGACUUCUCGAUUCAUAGAUAGCUAGUGUAUGCUUCUCCUGGUCCUGGGUUAUGGAUUACUGCAUUGCUUUGAACCUGCUUUUAGAGUCCUCAGGCCCCAACAGUGUGGUUAUUGGCAUGUUUCAAUUUUUUUUUUUAAGGCUAACCACCUGGAGCUCUGACUAUUCACUCAACAUGAAAGUAAUUGAUCCAUUUUAUAUGUAGUUCAGGUCUGAUUGUACAUUUUUUGGAUAUUUAUUGAGCUUUAGAAGAUAUUGCUACUUUGUCGAUAUCAUUAUAUUGUCACCCUAUUCACCAAUUAGGGUCCUCUUGGUGGAUGCUGCUACUUAUUCUCGAUGCGUUAGACUAUAAUUAUGUGUUUAAUUUGUUUGAGCAUGCUCUUUAAGCACCAUCUUGAUCUUUCAGUUCUAAUUAAUUCACUCACUAUAUGCUUCAUUGUGGGAUCUUUAGGCUUUUACAUUUUACUAGAAACUUCAUUGUCACUUGAGUGUGCCCCAGCAAGUACGUGUUUCAGUAAGCUAGCUAGCUUCCACACUAAGCUUCAGUUAGUACAUGAUCAUCCACAUGUUGCGUGCUUGGUAAGGAAAAUAGUUUGUUUAUUAAAUACUCAGCUGCUAACUAAUUUGCUAAUGCUCGUGGUAACUGUAUCUGGAGUGCUAGCUGUAUAUCUUAUUAGCUCAAUUUUUUAGUAAGGAAUAAUUUAUAUAUUCUAGUUACAUAUUAUAGCAGCUAUACGGUGAAGAUGGAGAUUAGGAACUAGUCCUUUUUUUUUACUGUUGAACAGGCUUUCUGUACAUUAAUCAUCAAUAUUAUGUUUCUUUUGUCUUUCUGAUUUAUUUCGUUCCUUGCAACCAACUCUGCAGAUUCAGAUUCAGGUUCAGAAGUCGGUCCUGCACAACCCGCUGAUCCUUUCCCUGGUCUGCUUGCAAAGACCAAAUCGGUGCUGAACCCACCGAUUACGCUGGUCAGUGUGAUAUACACAGUGGCAUUACCCAUGACACUGGCCCUCCGUGCCUACAAUAUGUCCACACUCAAUGCCCGACCCCAAGAUACUAUCACCCAUCAGCUUGUCCCUGGUCCAGAUAAGUGGGUGACAGAUGAUCUUCUUGGCAUGUCUGUGACAUGUGCCUGGUUCGCACCUAUUCUGCUACUGCACUUCUACAUCAUCACGCACCUGGUGUUGAAGAGGCCUGUGGGCAUCCCCACAAUGGAGAAGGCAUACGCAUGGGUUGCCCCAACCGUGAUUACAUUGAUCACCUUUGCUUACUUCCUCUCCUAUCUGAGCCUCUCAAGGUAUGGUGUUCGUCCAAGAGAAUUGGGCGUGCUGGGAGUUGUUACAACUAUACUUCUGUGUGGCAGUGUUUCAAUAAUCUUUUGUCGUCCGAUGAAGGAGGAGCGAGUUGUGGUUCUACAGAGGGCCCGUGUAUGAGGCAUUGAAGCUCGCUUGUUAAGCGCAUGCGGAAUCAUGAGGACAUCCCUACCUCACUACUACCUCCAUCAUUACAAAAGAUGAUCUUGCUGUGAAGCUCAAGUCCGAUGAAGUCAGGAUUGGACCAAUGACACGAGCUCGUGCGAAGCUACUUAAACAACAGGUAAAUUUGUUCCUAAAUGAUACUUUGAUUGAUGAGAACUUUAUACUACCUAAGUGCUAUUACUUAUGUAUGAUCAGGUAUGAGGAGGGAGCAAGCAUCGCACGAGGAGGAGAGGAGCAGUUGGACCAGAAGAUGGACGUGAAGCUGGACAUGGAGCUGAACAUGAAGACAUCUCAUGGACGCGCGAGGGAGGAGCGGGAGGCAUGCGCGAGAGGGGAAGUUGAAGUUCAGGCCGGUGCUAGAUCCGAUCCAAUCGGUCGUGCCGCCGGACCAGCCGGUCCCAGGCCCGGUCCGACCGGAUCCAGCGUCGGGUCAGUCCGGUUUCAACCGGCCGCGGUGCUUGUGCCAACCGGGCACUAUCCACUAAGCCCGGGAGCCUCGUUCGGUCAACACACGGCGCUAGGUCCGGUUUGAACCGGACCGGCCGGUCCCAGACCCGGUCGACCGGCCGCCAAACUGGCCGAUUCCGAGUCUGUCUCGACCAGAUCUAUUCUGGGUCGAUUAUUUUCGUACUUUUUCGACCUGAGAUCGUCGUGGACGCCUAUAUAAGUCCAUAGGACGCCCCCAAAGUUGCUAGAGACCACGUUUAAGAUAAACCUUAGUUUUUAGUUGUUUGCUAUGCAAAACUAUUGAAUCCAUACACCAUAUUGCUUGAUAUUGUGUAGAUCU